CGGGAAGUGGCGCAGUCCGGUUAGCGUACACGUCUGGGGGGCGUGUGGUCGCUGGUGCUUAUGAAGCAUAGCUUAUCAGCAUGCUGACAUGCGAAGCAUCGUCAGCAUUCGAAUCCAGUCAUCCCGA
rnacentral:tRNA from 1 species